UGGCUCAGGACGAACGCUGGCGGCGUGCUUAACACAUGCAAGUCGAGCGGAGAUUGCAUUUAUGUAAUCUUAGCGGCGGACGGGUGAGUAACGCGUAGGCAACCUGCCUUGCACAGAGGGAUAACACCGGGAAACUGGUGCUAAUACCACAUGAUAUCAUAACAAGGCAUCUUGAAAUGAUCAAAGGAGAAAUCCGGUGCAAGAUGGGCCUGCGUCCGAUUAGUUAGUUGGUGAGGUAACGGCUCACCAAGGCGACGAUCGGUAGCCGAACUGAGAGGUUGAUCGGCCACAUUGGGACUGAGACACGGCCCAGACUCCUACGGGAGGCAGCGGUGGGGAAUAUUGCGCAAUGGGGGGAACCCUGACGCAGCAACGCCGCGUGAAGGAAGAAGGCCUUCGGGUUGUAAACUUUUUUGAUUGGGGAAGAAAAAAAUGACGGUACCCAAGGAACAAGCCACGGCUAACUACGUGCCAGCAGCCGCGGUAAUACGUAGGUGGCGAGCGUUGUCCGGAAUUACUGGGUGUAAAGGGCGUGUAGGCGGGAUUGUAAGUCAGAUGUGAAAUUCCAGGGCUUAACUCUGGAGGUGCAUCUGAAACUAUAAUUCUUGAGUGCUGGAGAGGAAAGCGGAAUUCCUAGUGUAGCGGUGAAAUGCGUAGAUAUUAGGAAGAACACCAGUGGCGAAGGCGGCUUUCUGGACAGUAACUGACGCUGAGGCGCGAAAGCGUGGGGAGCAAACAGGAUUAAAUACCCUGGUAGUCCACGCUGUAAACGAUGGAUACUAGGUGUAGGAGGUAUCGACCCCUUCUGUGCCGGAGUUAACACAAUAAGUAUCCCACCUGGGGAGUACGGCCGCAAGGCUGAAACUCAAAGGAAUUGACGGGGGCCCGCACAAGCAGUGGAGUAUGUGGUUUAAUUCGAAGCAACGCGAAGAACCUUACCAGGGCUUGACAUCCCUCGGAUAACAUAGAGAUAUGUUAGUCCUUCGGGACGAGGAGACAGGUGGUGCAUGGUUGUCGUCAGCUCGUGUCGUGAGAUGUUGGGUUAAGUCCCGCGACGAGCGCAACCCCUAUUGUUAGUUGCCAUCAUUAAGUUGGGCGCUCUAACGAGACUGCCGGUGACAAAUCGGAGGAAGGUGGGGACGACGUCAAAUCAUCAUGCCCCUUAUGUCCUGGGCUACACACGUACUACAAUGGUCACUACAAAGGGAAGCAAUACCGCAAGGAGGAGCAAAUCCCCAAAGGUGACCUCAGUUCGGAUUGUGGGCUGAAACCCGCCCACAUG
rnacentral:rRNA from 1 species